UACGGGGGGGGGCAAGCGUUGUUCGGAAUUACUGGGCGUAAAGGGCUCGUAGGCGGCCAACUAAGUCAGACGUGAAAUCCCUCGGCUUAACCGGGGAACUGCGUCUGAUACUGGAUGGCUUGAGUUUGGGAGAGGGAUGCGGAAUUCCAGGUGUAGCGGUGAAAUGCGUAGAUAUCUGGAGGAACACCGGUGGCGAAGGCGGCAUCCUGGACCAACACUGACGCUGAGGAGCGAAAGCAUGGGGAGCGAACAGG
rnacentral:rRNA from 1 species